CAGUGGGGAAUAUUGCACAAUGGGCGCAAGCCUGAUGCAGCCAUGCCGCGUGUAUGAAAAGGGCCUUCGGGUUGUAAAGUACUUUCAGUCGUGAGGAAGGUGUUAAGGUUAAUAACCUUAGCAAUUGACGUUAGCGACGGAAGAAGCACCGGCUAACUCCGUGCCAGCAGCCGCGGUAAUACGGAGGUGCGAGCGUUAAUCGGAAUUACUGGGCGUAAAGGGCACGCAGGCGGUUAAUUAAGUUGGAUGUGAAAUCCCCGGGCUUAACCUGGGAAUGGCAUUCAAGACUGGUUAGCUAGAGUCUUGUAGAGGGGGUAGAAUUCCAUGUGUAGCGGUGAAAUGCGUAGAGAUGUGGAGGAAUACCGGUGGCGAAGGCGGCCCCUGGACAAGACUGACGCUCAUGUGCGAAAGCGUGGGGAGCAAACAGGGAUUAGAUACC
rnacentral:rRNA from 1 species